UUAUUACUCCCUCCGUUCGGAAUUACUUGUCGUAGAAAUGGAUGUAUCUAGAUGUAUUUUAGUUCUAGAUACAUCCAUUUCCGAGACAAGUAAUUCCGAACGGAGGGAGUAGAAG
rnacentral:pre_miRNA from 1 species